UGCUGACGAUUGACAUUUAGGAUACAAUUCCCAACAACUCCCACUUAGCCUAAAGCCAAUCGGCACAGUAUCUAAUACCCAUCUUCGACUUGUGUUUGUUGAACUCUUUAAUGCCGAGGACUUUGGUAAAUGGGUCAGCCAGAUUUUCUUUUGUGUCAAUCUUCUGAAGAUCAAUAUCACCUCGUUCUGUAAUCUCUCGAAC
rnacentral:lncRNA from 1 species